UCCGUUGUAGCAAUACGAUGGAAAGUCUAGUGGCGAACGGGUGCUUAACACGUGGGCAAUCUGUCUUAAAGUGGGGGAUAGCUCGGCGAAAGCCGAAUUAAUACCGCAUGUGAUUAGAGUGGACAUCCAUUCGAAAUUAAAGGUGGCGCAAGCUACCGCUUUUUGAGGAGCCCGCGGCCUAUCAGCUUGUUGGUGAGGUAACGGCUCACCAAGGCUUUGACGGGUAGCUGGUCUGAGAGGACGACCAGCCACACUGGGACUGAGACACGGCCCAGACACCUACGGGUGGCAGCAGUCGAGAAUUUUUCUCAAUGGGGGAAACCCUGAAGGAGCGACGCCGCGUGGAGGAUGAAGGUCUUCGGAUUGUAAACUCCUGUCAUUGGGGAACAAGUCGCUUACGUUAACUGCGUGAGCGUUGAUAGUACCCGAAGAGGAAGAGACGGCUAACUCUGUGCCAGCAGCCGCGGUAAUACAGAGGUCUCAAGCGUUGUUCGGAUUCAUUGGGCGUAAAGGGUGCGUAGGCGGCGCGGUAAGUCGGGUGUGAAAUCUUGGAGCUUAACUCCGAAACUGCAUUCGAUACUGCCGUGCUUGAGGACUGGAGAGGAGACUGGAAUUCACGGUGUAGCA
rnacentral:rRNA from 1 species